AACGAACGCUGGCGGCAUGCCUAACACAUGCAAGUCGAACGAGACCUUCGGGUCUAGUGGCGCACGGGUGCGUAACGCGUGGGAACCUGCCUUUAGGUUCGGAAUAACUCAGAGAAAUUUGAGCUAAUACCGGAUGAUGUCUUCGGACCAAAGAUUUAUCGCCUUUAGAUGGGCCCGCGUUGGAUUAGCUAGUUGGUGGGGUAAAGGCCUACCACGGCGACGAUCCAUAGCUGGUCUGAGAGGAUGAUCAGCCACACUGGGACUGAGACACGGCCCAGACUCCUACGGGAGGCAGCAGUGGGGAAUAUUGGACAAUGGGCGAAAGCCUGAUCCAGCAAUGCCGCGUGAGUGAUGAAGGCCUUAGGGUUGUAAAGCUCUUUUACCCGAGAUGAUAAUGACAGUAUCGGGAGAAUAAGCUCCGGCUAACUCCGUG
rnacentral:rRNA from 1 species